rnacentral:rRNA from 1 species
UACGUAGGGUGCGAGCGUUGUCCGGAAUUAUUGGGCGUAAAGGGCUCGUAGGCGGUCUGUCGCGUCGGGGAGUGAAAACUCAGGGCUUAACCCUGAGCCUGCUUCCGAUACGGGCAGACUAGAGGUAUGCAGGGGAGAACGGAAUUCCUGGUGUAGCGGUGAAAUGCGCAGAUAUCAGGAGGAACACCGGUGGCGAAGGCGGUUCUCUGGGCAUUACCUGACGCUGAGGAGCGAAAGUGUGGGGAGGCGAACAGG